rnacentral:lncRNA from 1 species
AAAAAAUUGUCAAAGUUCUACAUCAGUAUUUUCGAGGAAACAAACACAAACAAAAAUGCAACAGUCCACUGUUUACUUCUUCUUUGGAAUGCUUGUGUUUGUGCUGUUAUGUUCGAUGACAUCGGCAACGGUCAUAAGCUGUCCCCCGAACAGCAUUCAGCAAGAGAUAAACCCAAAACUUAGUCAACUAUGUUUCGCCAUUGAGCAAGCUCUUCAAGAUUCUUCACCUCAAAAUGAUGCAUAUACUGCCAGACUUGUGGACGAACGAAACACCAAUCUAAACGCCAAGAGGCAGGAUGUUGACCACGUCUUCCUCAGGUUCGGGAGAAGAUUUGGAAUGUAAACCUAUGCGUAGACUCUGCAAUAUUGAAAAAAAUAAUUCUUAAUUUUUUCCCAGGCGAAUUACAUUUGUAGCUUCUCAUAUGCGUAAUAUGCAAUUGUACUUUCCCGUUGAAAUUACUUUAAACUUGUGUUUUCGUCCUAUUGAGAACUAUAACAUUAAAUAAUUAUCAAAUUAUAAUUGUUCAUCUUAAUUAUAACACUUUCAGUAAUGUACCAGUUCUUACGAUAAUAAAUAUAUAUUUAUAUUUCCUCCGUUCUAGUUUAAAAUGGAUCUCACUGGUGAGAGGAGGUUAACACAUUUUUCAAAGAAAAAGUGAAAUCACGUCAUAUACUAUGAGAUAUAUUGAAAAAAAUAUUUAUUUAUAAAUUUUAACGUGUAACUCGUGAUAAAAAUUUGGCGAGAUCCUUUUUAAUCCAUACGUCGUUCUUCCAGCUUUAAUAAUAACAUUCUGUAUCUUUAAAAGUUUUUUUAGUAUUAGGAAAUGUUCUUAAGUUUGUAAACCACUACUUUAAUUAAUAAAUGAUCGUGUUUUGAAAGCAUAUUAAAGCAGACUAUAA